rnacentral:rRNA from 1 species
CAGUGGGGAAUAUUGGGCAAUGGGCGAAAGCCUGACCCAGCGACGCCGCGUGAGGGAAGAAGGUCUUCGGAUUGUAAACCUUUGUUGACAGGGAAGAAACAAAUGACGUAACCUGUCGAGGAAGCCACGACUAACUACGUG